rnacentral:rRNA from 1 species
AAAUUGAAGAGUUUGAUCAUGGCUCAGAUUGAACGCUGGCGGCAGGCCUAACACAUGCAAGUCGAACGGUAACAGGAAACAGCUUGCUGCUUUGCUGACGAGUGGCGGACGGGUGAGUAAUGUCUGGGAAACUGCCUGAUGGAGGGGGAUAACUACUGGAAACGGUAGCUAAUACCGCAUAACGUCGCAAGACCAAAGAGGGGGACCUUCGGGCCUCUUGCCAUCGGAUGUGCCCAGAUGGGAUUAGCUAGUAGGUGGGGUAACGGCUCACCUAGGCGACGAUCCCUAGCUGGUCUGAGAGGAUGACCAGCCACACUGGAACUGAGACACGGUCCAGACUCCUACGGGAGGCAGCAGUGGGGAAUAUUGCACAAUGGGCGCAAGCCUGAUGCAGCCAUGCCGCGUGUAUGAAGAAGGCCUUCGGGUUGUAAAGUACUUUCAGCGGGGAGGAAGGGAGUAAAGUUAAUACCUUUGCUCAUUGACGUUACCCGCAGAAGAAGCACCGGCUAACUCCGUGCCAGCAGCCGCGGUAAUACGGAGGGUGCAAGCGUUAAUCGGAAUUACUGGGCGUAAAGCGCACGCAGGCGGUUUGUUAAGUCAGAUGUGAAAUCCCCGGGCUCAACCUGGGAACUGCAUCUGAUACUGGCAAGCUUGAGUCUCGUAGAGGGGGGUAGAAUUCCAGGUGUAGCGGUGAAAUGCGUAGAGAUCUGGAGGAAUACCGGUGGCGAAGGCGGCCCCCUGGACGAAGACUGACGCUCAGGUGCGAAAGCGUGGGGAGCAAACAGGAUUAGAUACCCUGGUAGUCCACGCCGUAAACGAUGUCGACUUGGAGGUUGUGCCCUUGAGGCGUGGCUUCCGGAGCUAACGCGUUAAGUCGACCGCCUGGGGAGUACGGCCGCAAGGUUAAAACUCAAAUGAAUUGACGGGGGCCCGCACAAGCGGUGGAGCAUGUGGUUUAAUUCGAUGCAACGCGAAGAACCUUACCUGGUCUUGACAUCCACAGAACUUUCCAGAGAUGGAUUGGUGCCUUCGGGAACUGUGAGACAGGUGCUGCAUGGCUGUCGUCAGCUCGUGUUGUGAAAUGUUGGGUUAAGUCCCGCAACGAGCGCAACCCUUAUCCUUUGUUGCCAGCGGUCCGGCCGGGAACUCAAAGGAGACUGCCAGUGAUAAACUGGAGGAAGGUGGGGAUGACGUCAAGUCAUCAUGGCCCUUACGACCAGGGCUACACACGUGCUACAAUGGCGCAUACAAAGAGAAGCGACCUCGCGAGAGCAAGCGGACCUCAUAAAGUGCGUCGUAGUCCGGAUUGGAGUCUGCAACUCGACUCCAUGAAGUCGGAAUCGCUAGUAAUCGUGGAUCAGAAUGCCACGGUGAAUACGUUCCCGGGCCUUGUACACACCGCCCGUCACACCAUGGGAGUGGGUUGCAAAAGAAGUAGGUAGCUUAACCUUCGGGAGGGCGCUUACCACUUUGUGAUUCAUGACUGGGGUGAAGUCGUAACAAGGUAACCGUAGGGGAACCUGCGGUUGGAUCACCUCCUUACCUUAAAGAAGC